GAUGAACGCUGGCGGCGUGCCUAAUACAUGCAAGUCGAGCGAACAGACGAGGAGCUUGCUCCUCUGACGUUAGCGGCGGACGGGUGAGUAACACGUGGAUAACCUACCUAUAAGACUGGGAUAACUUCGGGAAACCGGAGCUAAUACCGGAUAAUAUAUUGAACCGCAUGGUUCAAUAGUGAAAGACGGUUUUGCUGUCACUUAUAGAUGGAUUCGCGCCGCAUUAGCUAGUUGGUAAGGUAACGGCUUACCAAGGCAACGAUGCGUAGCCGACCUGAGAGGGUGAUCGGCCACACUGGAAAUGAGACACGGUCCAGACUCCUACGGGAGGCAGCAGUAGGGAAUCUUCCGCAAUGGGCGGAAGCCUGACGGAGCAACGCCGCGUGAGUGAUGAAGGUCUUCGGAUCGUAAAGCUCUGUUAUUAGGGAAGAACAAAUGUGUAAGUAACUAUGCACGUCUUGACGGUACCUAAUCAGAAAGUCACGGCUAACUACGUG
rnacentral:rRNA from 1 species